rnacentral:rRNA from 1 species
AGUACUCGAGUGGCGAACGGGUGAGUAACACGUGGGUAAUCUGCCCUGCACUCUGGGAUAAGCCUGGGAAACUGGGUCUAAUACUGGAUAUGACCUUUCUCCUUAUGGGGUUUGGUGGAAAGUUUUUCGGUGUAGGAUGGGCCCGCGGCCUAUCAGCUUGUUGGUGGGGUGAUGGCCUACCAAGGCGACGACGGGUAGCCGGCCUGAGAGGGUGAUCGGCCACAUUGGGACUGAGAUACGGCCCAG